rnacentral:rRNA from 1 species
UACAGAGGGGGCAAGCGUUGUUCGGAAUUACUGGGCGUAAAGGGCGCGUAGGCGGCCGCCUAAGUCAUACGUGAAAUCCCUCGGCUUAACCGGGGAACUGCGCCUGAUACUGGUUGACUUGAGUUUGGGAGAGGGACGCGGAAUUCCAGGUGUAGCGGUGAAAUGCGUAGAUAUCUGGAGGAACACCGGUGGCGAAGGCGGCGUCCUGGACCAAUACUGACACUGAGGAGCGAAAGCCAGGGGAGCAAACGGG